UACGUAGGGACCAAGCGUUGUUCGGAUUUACUGGGCGUAAAGGGCGCGUAGGCGGCUUAACAAGUCACUUGUGAAAUCUCCGGGCUUAACUCGGAACGGCCAAGUGAAACUGUCAAGCUAGAGUGCAGAAGGGGCAAUCGGAAUUCUUGGUGUAGCGGUGAAAUGCGCAGAUAUCAGGAGGAACACCGGUGGCGAAGGCGGGUCUCUGGGCAACAACUGACGCUGAGGAGCGAAAGCGUGGGGAGCGAACAGG
rnacentral:rRNA from 1 species